rnacentral:rRNA from 1 species
CGUACGCAACCUUCCCAAAACAGGUGAAUAGCCCUGCGAAAGUAGGAUUAAUACACCGUAAGAUACAGCGCAGGCAUCUGCUUUGUAUUAUAGACUGCAAGGUCGGUUUUGGAUGGGCGUGCGCCUGAUUAGGUAGUUGGUGUGGGUAACGGCCCACCAAGCCUUCGAUCAGUAACUGGUGUGAGAGCACGACCAGUCACACGGGCACUGAGACACGGGCCCG